rnacentral:lncRNA from 1 species
GCCUCCAUGGGCCGGUGGGGAGAUCAAAGUUCUACCUCACCGGUCCACAGCAGCAUGGAGGGAGGCAGCAGAGAACCCGGGCUAGCGUUCACUCUCUACUGAACCACCAGGGAAGGCAGCAGGACUGGGAUAUUAACUAGUCUGCCCCCACCUCCACCCAAACAUACAGCACACACAGCCCACAAACAGCACCCACACACACACACAGCACCUACACACAUACAUCACCC